GUCCUGGCAUAGCCACCGACUUUCCUGCCGCACCAAGCGGGCGCUGGGGCUUUGCUCCUCCAGCAGGCAGGGCACGGGACCUGUCAGGGAGCAAAACGCGAUGGCAGCAGAUUCCUACAUUAAGCACCUCUCUGUCUACAAAAUCCUUGUCAGUAAUUAAGUAGAUUGUAUGUUACAACCUCUGCUUGGUAUGGUAAUUACCCUACUGUUAGUUCUCCCUGUUGACUGUGUUCGUGUACCAUCCAUUACCAUCACCUUGGAUUGAAUAGAAUUUGGAGUGACGUGAAGUGUUUCACACAGUGAAGAACCAGAAUUUUGAAGGACCUGCAGGUGCCACCACAAGAAGUUCGGUUCAGUGAUGGCCUAAAGCUUUGCAGCACUGCAGACAAAACAGGAUGUCACUGCCCACAGAUCAGAUGUUUUUGACUGGCAGCGUUCAAUUUUUGCAAAGACAACGAAGAGCAAGUGUUGCAGGUACUAGGAAUAUGAGCUGGGGGGAUAAUUAUAUAUUUCUGCCCCCACCCAUAAUUAUCUCAGGAGGCCUUUCUCCUCCAAGAGCUGAAAGGCUUUUUCUUUGUACCUGGGCUAGUGCUGCGUGGAUGGGAAGAGGAGAACAGCCGAGACAGGGCACAGAGCCUGAAGCAUUACCUGCCAGCAGGGCUGGCUGUUCCUGCUGCUCUCACAAGGGCCACAAAACAGCGAGGGAACUGAGCGGCGCUGGCUGGGAUCAUCUCCUGCAGCACAGCUGCUGCCUCACACUCAGGAGGAAAAGUAGAAGACUGCAAAGUGGAGCGAGAAAAUGAGCUGUGCUGCUGAAGUGCUGCCCUGCUGGGUAGCAGAAUGUGCUCUUUAUGUGCCUGCCUGCCCUGUCUGUGCCUGCUGUCACACUUGGUUUUCCACGACAUUUCUUUGAUCACUGUUAUUGGUGUGAAAUUUUAUAUGCUAUUAAGCUACCAGCAAAACGCCCGUUGUCCUUUGCACAACUGGAUCUGGCCACUAAAAACGUUCUCUGAA